GUGAGUAACACGUGAGUAACCUGCCCUUAACUCUGGGAUAAGCCUUGGAAACGGGGUCUAAUACUGGAUAUUGACUUUUCCUCGCAUGGGGAUUGGUUGAAAGAUUUAUUGGUUUUGGAUGGACUCGCGGCCUAUCAGCUUGUUGGUGAGGUAAUGGCUCACCAAGGCGACGACGGGUAGCCGGCCUGAGAGGGUGACCGGCCACACUGGGACUGAGACACGGCCCAGACUCCUACGGGAGGCAGCAGUGGGGAAUAUUGCACAAUGGGCGAAAGCCUGAUGCAGCGACGCCGCGUGAGGGAUGACGGCCUUCGGGUUGUAAACCUCUUUCAGUAGGGAACAAGGCCAGUGUUUAGCUGGUUGAGGGUACUUGCAGAAGAAGCGCCGGCUAACUACGUGCCAGCAGCCGCGGUAAUACGUAGGGCGCAAGCGUUAUCCGGAAUUAUUGGGCGUAAAGAGCUCGUAGGCGGUUUGUCGCGUCUGCCGUGAAAGUCCGGGGCUCAACCCCGGAUCUGCGGUGGGUACGGGCAGACUAGAGUGAUGUAGGGGAGACUGGAAUUCCUGGUGUAGCGGUGAAAUGCGCAGAUAUCAGGAGGAACACCGAUGGCGAAGGCAGGUCUCUGGGCAUUAACUGACGCUGAGGAGCGAAAGCAUGGGGAGCGAACAGGAUUAGAUACCCUGGAAGUCCAUGCCGAAAACGUUGGGCACUAGGUGUGGGGGACAUUCCACGUUUUCCGCGCCGUAACUAACGCAUUAAGUGCCCCGCCUGGGGAGUAC
rnacentral:rRNA from 1 species